CCUACGGGCGGCAGCAGUGAGGAAUAUUGGUCAAUGGACGGAAGUCUGAACCAGCCAUGCCGCGUGCAGGAAGACGGCUCUAUGAGUUGUAAACUGCUUUUGUACAAGGGUGAACCUGAAUACGUGUAUUCAGCUGAAAGUACUGUACGAAUAAGGAUCGGCUAACUCCGUGCCAGCAGCCGCGGUAAUACGGAGGAUCCAAGCGUUAUCCGGAUUUAUUGGGUUUAAAGGGUGCGUAGGCGGUUUGAUAAGUUAGUGGUGAAAUGUCCGAGCUUAACUCGGGAACUGCCUCUAAUACUGUUGGUCUAGAGAGUAGAUGCGGUAGGCGGAAUGUAUGGUGUAGCGGUGAAAUGCUUAGAGAUCAUACAGAACACCGAUUGCGAAGGCAGCUUACCAAUCUAUAUCUGACGUUGAGGCACGAAAGCGUGGGGAGCAAACAGGAUUAGAUACCCUUGUAGUC
rnacentral:rRNA from 1 species